GGCGAACGGGUGAGUAACGCGUAGGAAUCUGCCUGGUAGUGGGGGACAACGUCUCGAAAGGGACGCUAAUACCGCAUACGCCCUACGGGGGAAAGGGGGGGAUCUUCGGACCUCUCGCUAUCAGAUGAGCCUGCGUCGGAUUAGCUAGUUGGUGAGGUAAAGGCUCACCAAGGCGACGAUCCGUAGCUGGUCUGAGAGGAUGAUCAGCCACACCGGAACUGAGACACGGUCCGGACUCCUACGGGAGGCAGCAGUGGGGAAUAUUGGACAAUGGGGGCAACCCUGAUCCAGCCAUGCCGCGUGUGUGAAGAAGGCCUUCGGGUUGUAAAGCACUUUAAGGGGGGAGGAAGGUUCGCUGGUGAAUAUCCAGCGGAAUUGACGUUACCCCCAGAAUAAGCACCGGCUAACUUCGUGCCAGCAGCCGCGGUAAUACGAGGGGUGCAAGCGUUAAUCGGAAUUACUGGGCGUAAAGCGCGCGUAGGCGGCUGAGUAAGUCGAUUGUGAAAGCCCCGGGCUCAACCUGGGAAUUGCAGUCGAGACUGUUCGGCUAGAGUGUGGGAGAGGGUGGUGGAAUUCCC
rnacentral:rRNA from 1 species